CAGCAGCCACGGGAAUACGAAGGGGGCUAGCGUUGUUCGGAAUUACUGGGCGUAAAGGGCGCGUAGGCGGCCAUUCAAGUUAGAUGUGAAAGCCCUGGGCUCAACCUAGGAAUUGCAUUUGAUACUGUUUGGCUUGAGUUCGGGAGAGGUGAGUGGAAUUCCCAGUGUAGAGGUGAAGUUCGUAGAUAUUGGGAAGAACACCAGUGGCGAAGGCGGCUCACUGGACCGACACUGACGCUGAGGCGCGAAAGCGUGGGGAGCAAACAGGAUUAGAUACCCGCGUAGUCCCUGUCUCUUAUAC
rnacentral:rRNA from 1 species